GACGAACGCUGGCGGCGUGCCUAAUACAUGCAAGUAGGACGCAGUUGCGAACGGGUGAGUAACGCGUAGGUAACUACCUAUUAGAGGGGGAUAACUAUUGGAAACGAUCGCUAAUACCGCAUACUAGUAGAUGGACCUGCGUGGUAUUAGCUAGUAGGUAGGGUAAUGGCCUACCUGGGCAACGAUACAUAGCCGACCGGAGGGGGUGGUCGGCCACACUGGGACUGGGAGACGGCCCAGACGCCUGCGGGAGGGAGCAGUAGGGAAUCUUCGGCAAUGGGGGGAACCCUGACCGAGCAACGCGGCGUGAGUGAGGAAUGUUUUCGGAUCGUAAAGCUCUGUUGUUAAGGAAGCGGUACUUAACGAGAAAGGGACGGCUAACUACGUGCCAGCAGCCGCGGUAAUUC
rnacentral:rRNA from 1 species